rnacentral:rRNA from 1 species
AGUUGGGCACUCUAAUGAGACUGCCGGUGACAAACCGGAGGAAGGUGGGGAUGACGUCAAAUCAGCAUGCCCCUUAUGACUUGGGCUACACACGUGCUACAAUGGAUGGUACAACGAGUCGCAAACCCGCGAGGGCAAGCAAAUCUCUUAAAGCCAUUCUCAGUUCGGAUUGCAGGCUGCAACUCGCCUGCAUGAAGCCGGAAUCGCUAGUAAUCGUGGAUCAGCACGCCACGGUGAAUACGUUCCCGGGUCUUGUACACACCGCCCGUCACACCACGAGAGUUUGUAACACCCGAAGUCGGUGAGGUAACCUUUAUGGAGCCAGCCGCCGAAGGUGGGACAGAUGAUUGGGGUGAAGUCGUAACAAGGUAGCCGUAUCGGAAGGUGCGGCUGGAUCACCUCCUUU